rnacentral:lncRNA from 1 species
GAAUAUUCAUAUUCAAAUAUGUUUUAGACAUACUCAAUUUAAUAAUACACUUUUAACACUUUCUUUUUUUUUUUUGAGAAAGAUAGGUAGCACGCUACCCACUUCGUUUAUUUUAUUUAGAAAUAAACUUAGCUGAAAAUGUGAAUCAAUUAGGAUUCGAACAUUAAUACCAGGGAUGGUCAGUACAUAAAUUUUAUUGUUUAAGUUAGUUCAAC